AUUGAACGCUGGCGGCAGGCCUAACACAUGCAAGUCGAACGAGUGGCGGACGGGUGAGUAAUGUCUGGGAAACUGCCUGAUGGAGGGGGAUAACUAACGGAAACGGUAGCUAAUACCGCAUACCAUCGGAUGUGCCCAGAUGGGAGUAGCUAGUAGGUGGGGUAAAGGCUCACCUAGGCGACGAUCCCUAGCUGGUCUGAGUGGAUGCCCAGCCACACUGGAACUCAGACACGGUCCAGACUCCUACGGGAGGCAGCGGUGGGGAUAAUUGCACAAUGGGCGCAAGCCUGAUGCAGCCAGGCCGCUUGUAUGAAGAAGGCCUUCGGGUUGUAAAGUACUUUCAGCGGGGAGGCGUUACCCGCAGAAGAAGCACCGGCUAACUCCGUGCCAGCAGCCGCGGUAAUUC
rnacentral:rRNA from 1 species